UACGAACCGUGCGAACGUUGUUCGGAAUCACUGGGCUUAAAGGGCGCGUAGGCGGGCAAUCAAGUCUGAGGUGAAAUCCUACAGCUUCACUGGAGAAGUGCCCUGGAUACUGAUUGCCUCGAGGAUGGUAGGGGCAUCUGGAACUAGCGGUGGAGCGGUGAAAUGCGUUGAUAUCGCUAGGAACGCCGGUGGCGAAGGCGAGGUGCUGGACCAUUUCUGACGCUGAGGCGCGAAAGCCAGGGGAGCGAACGGG
rnacentral:rRNA from 1 species